UACGGAGGGUGCAAGCGUUAAUCGGAAUUACUGGGCGUAAAGCGCACGUAGGUGGUUUGUUAAGUCAGCUGUGAAAUCCCCGGGCUCAACCUGGGCACUGCAGUUGAAACUGGCAAGCUAGAGUAGGGUAGAGGGGUGUGGAAUUCCAGGUGUAGCGGUGAAAUGCGUAGAUAUCUGGAGGAACAUCAGUGGCGAAGGCGACACCCUGGACUCAUACUGACACUGAGGUGCGAAAGCGUGGGGAGCAAACAGG
rnacentral:rRNA from 1 species